AUUUGUCUCUAAACAGAUAAAAAACAACUUCAAAAUUUAUGUUUUAAUUUUCAUGGGUUUACAAUAAUUUUUGGUUAUUUCACGCCGCACUAGUAAUCACCAUACUAUUUUUUCAGUGAAAGAGGUGAGAGAAGCAGCUGAGAAGCUCCGGAAGUCGCGUCAGCGAUCCUGCAUUGAGCCCGAUCCAAUCGUUUCCGACGGGUUGAAGACCGAAAUAUCCUCUGGUGUUACGUCGCCUAGACGAUUGAAGAAGUCCGACAACUCGCCUAAUUUGCCAGAGAGGUAUGCAAUGUUGGGUGAGUUUUUUGAUAGAUUGGUUAACUCCAUUCUGCUUCUGAGGGGUUCCAAUCCAACCUUUUCAAAUAUUAAACCCAAAAUUGAGUCAUUCACUAAUAGGAGGUUCACCUAUAGUCAUUUGGCACAAUUGAAGUUUAUUUUACCAGAGGCCAUAGAGAUGAAGAAGACUGUUACCCGGGAUGAACUAACUUUCUGUAUGAAGCCAGAUAUUCAUAUAACUUUGAACACUGCAGCAAUUAUGAAACCAAAUCAGCUGUCAUCAUAGUCUGGGCAUAUGUAUCUAAAGAAGAUGUUUCGUAGUAGGCUAUUGGACUACUUUAAGACCCACCCGGAGGGUGAUGUUCCUGAAGAAACACUACCGGAGCCAUUCAACAAGUCAAAGAAAGCUUGUGUUAGUGAAGAAGCUAACUCAACCUUUGGCCUUGAAAGAUCAACUGUUUUACCUGCAAUUCAGCAGCCAGUACCAGUAUCUCAUCUAUCCAAAUCCUUCAGGGGAUUUUUUUAUGUAAUCCUUCAGUUUGAAGCUGAGGAGAAUUCAGUCAUUGACUUAGUUUAGUUCUGCUUCUUUUUUUUUAUAUGUAAGGCAAAAUUUCCCACAUCGCUACUUUA